rnacentral:rRNA from 1 species
GACGAACGCUGGCGGCGUGCUUAACACAUGCAAGUCGAACGGAAAGGCCCUGCCUUUGUGGGGUGCUCGAGUUGCGAACGGGUGAGUAACACGUGAGUAACCUGCCCUUGACUUUGGGAUAACUUCAGGAAACUUGGGCUAAUACCGGAUAGGAGCUCCUGCUGCAUGGUGGGGGUUGGAUAGUUUCGGCGGUUGGGGUUGUACUCGCGGCUUAUCAGCUUGUUGGUGGGGUAGUGGCUUACCAAGGCUUUGACGGGUAGCCGGCCUGAGAGGGUGACCGGACACAUUGGGACUGAGAUGCGGCCCAGACUCCUACGGGAGGCAGCAGUGGGGAAUAGUGCACAAUGGGCGGAAGCCUGAUGCAGCAACGCCGCGUGCGGGAUGACGGCCUUCGGGUUGUAAACCGCUUUCGCCUGUGACGAAGCGUGAGUGACGGUAAUGGGUAAAGAAGCACCGGCUAACUACGUG